AAGUCGUAACAAGGUUUCCGUAGGUGAACCUGCGGAAGGAUCAUUAAAGAAUACCGGGUCUUACAGCCCUAUUCUCACCCUUUGUAUACCAAACUUUGUUGCUUUGGCAGCGCCUUCAGGGCCUGCCAGAGGACUGAAACCCUAGAAUCUCUGCUGUCUGAGUACUAUAUAAUAGUUAAAA
rnacentral:misc_RNA from 1 species